UUAAGUUCAGCGGGUAUCCCCACCUGAUCCGAGGUCAACCUUUAGAAAAUAGGUUAUUCUGCGGCACGGGCAGGUCUCGUCUCCGUAGCGGUAUGUUUCCACGACGCCGGGUGAGAGACUGCUCGGCCGGGGCAUUUGAGGCGUGCGACGUGCGCAUCGCCCAACACCAAGCGAGGCUUGAUUGGUGAAAUGACGCUCGAACAGGUGUGCCCCAAGGAAUACCAAGGGGCGCAAUAUGCGUUCAAAGAUUCGAUGAUUCACUGAAUUCUGCAAUUCACAUUACUUAUCGCAUUUCGCUGCGUUCUUCAUCGAUGCCAGAACCAAGAGAUCCGUUGUUGAAAGUUUUGAUUUCAUUUAAAAUCUAACUCAGACGACAUUAAAAUGCAGUGUUUGAGUGGUCCUCCGGGGGGCCCGCCGCGAGGCAGGGCCACCCCCGAGGCAACGAGGUGUUGUGAUACAAGAGGGUUGGAGGUCGGGCACGGAGGCCCUAACUCGUUAAUGAUCCCU
rnacentral:misc_RNA from 1 species